CCCUCCUACAAAAGAAAAAUACCACCACCUUUUCUUCUGGGGGUGUUUCUUCAUGGUGAACAUCACCCUGAAGAGCAAACACCUCAGAGGGAUUUCAAGAAGACUAUAAAGAGUGAUAAAUACUACAAUCAUGUGAGUAGAGUUCGGGGUGAUCUGGAUAGAAAACAAUCCCAUAAAAAUCUAAGAUGUUACUAAUAAAAGGGUGG
rnacentral:lncRNA from 1 species